rnacentral:lncRNA from 10 species
UCAGCCCUCUGGGGACUUGGACUGAUUCUCCAGUUAGCGCAUACCUGUCCCACUCCUGUCUGCAAGAUUUGGAGCCCUGUCUGUGCUUCCAGUUCAGACUUCACCAGCCCUGCAGGGAGGACAAAGGGACCACUGCAGUGCUGGGUACAGAGAGGACACCAGAGCAUCUGAGACAAGACAACCACAGAUUCAUCAGCCUCACCAUUGCUAGAGUUGUAGAGAAAGGCUGCCUACCUGUCCCUUGGACGGGGCUCUGGGGGGCGAAGCCUGGGGAUGCGCUCCAUCUCCUGAGAGAUCACAUACUGGGUGAUACAGCUAUUGGAGCCAGACCACCUGGGUUUGAAUCCUGCCUUUGCUACUGAUGAAUUAUGUAACCUUGGGCAAGUUGCUGAACCUCUCCAAGCCUCAAUUCCCUCAUCAAUAAAAUGGGGAUUUAUACCUCCU